rnacentral:rRNA from 1 species
AACGAACGCUGGCGGCAUGCCUAACACAUGCAAGUCGAACGAGACCUUCGGGUCUGGUGGCGCACGGGUGCGUAACGCGUGGGAACCUGCCGUUAGGUUCGGAAUAACUCCCCGACAGGGGUGCUAAUACCGGAUAAUGUAUUCGGACAAAAGAUUUAUCGCCUUUGGAUGGGCCCGCGUUGGAUUAGCUAGUUGGUAGGGUAAAAGCCUACCAAGGCGACGAUCCAUAGCUGGUCUGAGAGGAUGAUCAGCCACACUGGGACUGAGACACGGCCCAGACUCCUACGGGAGGCAGCAGUGGGGAAUAUUGGACAAUGGGCGAAAGCCUGAUCCAGCAAUGCCGCGUGAGUGAUGAAGGCCUUAGGGUUGUAAAGCUCUUUUACCCGGGAUGAUAAUGACAGUACCGGGAGAAUAAGCUCCGGCUAACUCCGUG